CAGCCGCCGCGGGAAUACGAAGGGUGCAAGCGUUAUUCGGAAUUACUGGGCGUAAAGCGUGCGUAGGUGGUGGUUUAAGUCCGUUGUGAAAGCCCUGGGCUCAACCUGGGAAUUGCAGUGGAUACUGGGUCACUAGAGUGUGGUAGAGGAUAGUGGAAUUUCCGGUGUAGCAGUGAAAUGCGUAGAGAUCGGAAGGAACAUCUGUGGCGAAGGCGACUAUCUGGGCCAACACUGACACUGAGGCACGAAAGCGUGGGGAGCAAACAGGAUUAGAUACCCCGGUAGUCCCUGUCUCUUAUAC
rnacentral:rRNA from 1 species